AAGUUCGGGGGCAAAGAGCGGGGGGUUACGGAUUAUGGGCGUAAAGCGCGCGUAGGCGGUUUCUUAAGUCUGAUGUGAAAGCCCCCGGCUCAACCNGGGGAGGGUCAUUGGAAACUGGGAGACUUGAGUGCAGAAGAGGAGAGUGGAAUUCCAUGUGUAGCGGUGAAAUGCCGCAGAGAUAUGGAGGAACACCAGUGGCGAAGGCGGCUCUCUGGUCUGUAACUGACGCUGAGGUGCGAAAGCGUGGGGAUCAAACAGGAUUAGAUACCCUGGUAGUCCACGCCGUAAACGAUGAGUGCUAAGUGUUGGGGGGUUUCCGCCCCUCAGUGCUGCAGCNUAACGCAUUAAGCACUCCGCCUGGGGAGUACGGUCGCAAGACUGAAACUCAAAGGAAUUGACGGGGACCCGCACAAGCGGUGGAGGAUGUGGGUUUAUU
rnacentral:rRNA from 1 species